AUUUUAACUACCAACGUGGGCAUUGCCAACGACAGCGAAGCAGGCGGUGUGACUUAGAACAAUGAAAAAGAUUGAUGUAUGGAGAUUAAGGGAGAUAAGAGCAAAUGGCACAAUCAAUAUCAACUGCCCCAGGAUGCACCACCAUGAGCAGAGGGCCAGGAAAACCACUAAGCUGACUGCAAGGCUGAAUAAUCAAAUGGCACAAUCAAUAUCAACUGUCCCAGGAUGCACCACCACUAGCAGAGGGCCAGGAAAACCACCAAGCUGCCUGCAAGGCUGAAUAAUAUUUAUGAGCUCAUCCUUUCUCUCCAAAGCAUGAGAGCACAAGAGGAAGGUGGAUGAAGAAAACCAGAGAGAGAGGGAGUAGAAACACCACGCAAGAAGAAACAGGAUGAAUGUGAAAGAAGAAAUGUUAAGAGAAUAACGCCGGCUGGCCAAAGAGGUCAAAUAGAUAGCUUCUCUCUUUUCGUUUGCCUGUUUGCUCGAGUGUAUCCACUCACCAUUUCGGCUUUAGCUGGUGUAGAAUUUGUGUUCCUUGUGUAAACACACACUCACACACAUGACUGUGUGCACAUACAUGCACACAAAUGGAUGCACAUACUGUACAUACAUACACAAGAGCGUGCACACACACACACAUGCAAACAUGCACAGUAGCACAGUAGCACACACACACACUCUCGAUUAGUUAUUGAUCUAUUACCCCACUGAGAAAAAGGACAAUUAUUCCAUCGGUAAAGGAAAUAAAGCACAAU